GGAAUGGUGGGGAAGACUGGGGCACCAGGGAUUCAAGGUCCAGUUGGGAAGAGUGUGAGUAUUGUACUGUUCUUGGCUAUACACACUAAUUUACAACAGGCGAUGAUAAAAUGAUCAUACUGACCAAGCAUGGGGAUAUUAUUUGUCAACAGGGGGAUUCUGGUGGUAGAGGGAUCACUGGUAAGCCAGGAAAGCCAGGAGUCAGGGUAAGUCCACGUUACCCCAUAAACAUUCUCUAACUCUUUUACUUAGCUAUGUCUGACAAAGCAGUUGUGUUUGUCAGUGUAUCAGCGCAAUCUUUUUUGUCAGUUUGUUUUACCAUCCUUUACAUAGGGUGCCAAAGGUAAAGAGGGUCCGAACGGCCUUAUGGGAAAUCCUGGACGGAAGGUACUGAAAUGGACCUCCUAAAAUACAAAACAUUGAAAAUGGUUUCCCAUAAAGCAAUAAAGGAGUUAUAAACUGUUUAGUAAUACUAUAGUGUGGACAUAGCUUACUGAUAUGUUGAUUUCGGAAGGGAAACAGAGGUCAAGAAGGUUCGAAGGGGAGACGCGGAAGUCCAGUAAGUGUCAAAUUAGUUCUAUUCUCAGAGCUUUAUAAAGUGUGUCUGACUGAAUCUACAUGGAGACUCAUGACAUCUUCUCACAUUGUGUUUCAGGGCGUGCAGGGAUUGACAGGGAUACAGGGAUACAGAGGAGCUCCUGGCAUAGCAGGCAAUAUAGGACCAUGGGGUGAGGUGGGCCUCCAAGGGCCACCAGGGGACAAGGGGCCCCCAGGAUUAGUUGGGCCCCGUGGAGUUGUAGGUUACCCAGGUAAAGAUGGACCACAGGGAGGUAUUGGGCCAUUGGCAGACAAUGGGGAUAAGGUACAACUAUACUCUAUACUACUGUAUAUUCUGUCAUUAUCCAUGUCAUUGGGGCAUCAGCUGUAUCCAGUGUCUUUUUAUAAUCCUCUGAAAUAUCCUGUGUUUGUGCAGGGGUCCAGAGGAGCUAUCGGACAGAAUGGAGUUGCUGGUGUCGAUGGUGAGGAGGUAGAUUGA
rnacentral:lncRNA from 1 species